ACCCUGUCUGUGGCCAUUGGUUAGGGACAACAACCCCCUAGCAUCAUGGCCGCAUUCUUGGGGGAAACAUCCCCUAUCCAUGAGAUGGCAUUGCGAGUGAGAUGCCAACACUGAGGGUGGGUCAAUGAGAGCUACUUUCAAUUGUGAGCGCUGCCGGUGUCAUUUUGGGCACCUGGCCCAUCACCUCGCUCAAAAAUGUGUCCUCCACACUUUUAACCAUGGAAAGGAGCUAAAUGGGAUAUGAGUGUGACACUUGGGGAGGCUCUGCUGCAGGCUACGAGAAUGCAAUGGAGGAGCUAACUUCCUCUAGUAGUGCAGGCGACAGCUGAUUGAUUGCACGUCGCGCCGGAAGUGCCUCGUUGAUAUCCUCCCAUUUCAUCCGUCCUAGCCCUCCCCCGCGAAGAGUGGAGAAUUCCGCUAACUAGCAGGCAAUCCUUCAUAGGGAAGUUUCCACUGUCCCUAUUUCGAGAUGCGGUAGUCACCCAAAGAUUAGUGUGCUUUUUUUUUCCCCAUCUUCGGCAUAUUUUUCUCGGUAGUCAUAUCUCAUGGCAACGCCGCCGAUUCCAACGCUGAAUCUUAUUGGGUUCGCAAAGUCCAUCUCUAUAUCCACACCAUCAAGAAUCGUAGAGGUCAUGGGAAUCUGGUCUUCGCUCGUGGGCCCACCGCUCCUGCAUCUUCUAAUUUUUAUCACCCACCAAUCGUAAACAGUGCCAUAUCCCUCAAUCUGCAUCGAGCCGAUCAUUAGUAUGGGUCACUUUUAAUUGUAUAUAAAGCCUGACGUCCUCCCACCUUGUACUCAUCACUCCAUCUUCCUAAUGGUACCUGACGUCCAGAACGAUAAUUCCCACGCACGCGAAGUUCCAACAAAGAAUUCAAAAUGGCUC
rnacentral:sRNA from 2 species